rnacentral:rRNA from 1 species
CGAACGCUGGCGGCAGGCCUAAUACAUACAAGUCGAACGGCUCUUCGGAGCAGUGGCGGACGGGUGAGUAACGCGUGGGAAUGUGCCCUUAGGUACGGAACAACACAGGGAAACUUGUGCUAAUACCGUAUGUGCCCUUCGGGGGAAAGAUUUAUCGCCUUUGGAGCAGCCCGCGUUGGAUUAGGUAGUUGGUGAGGUAAAGGCUCACCAAGCCGACGAUCCAUAGCUGGUCUGAGAGGAUGACCAGCCACACUGGGACUGAGACACGGCCCAGACUCCUACGGGAGGCAGCAGUAGGGAAUCUUGCGCAAUGGGCGAAAGCCUGACGCAGCCAUGCCGCGUGUAUGAUGAAGGUCUUAGGAUUGUAAAAUACUUUCACCGGGGAAGAUAAUGACGGUACCCGGAGAAGAAGCCCCGGCUAACUUCGUGCCAGCCGCCGCCGUAAAAC